CAUGAGGGGUAUCUGAAACUGGUUUUGGUCAAAGGGAUGGCUCUCUGGGAUGGAGGAAGAGGAGCAGGAUGGGAACAUAGGAGCACCUAUCUCCCAGAGCUAUUGUGAAGAUUAAAUGAUAUAGCAAAUGGAAAGGGCUUUGCAAACCCUAAUGACGUACAGAAAUCUGAGCUGCGUGGAGGACAGAUUGCAGCGGGACAACACUGGAGCCAAAAAGGUCACAACGACUCUUGAAGGCCAAUGAGGAACAUUCAUUGGAAACAUGAUUCUAAAACAUUUCUUGAUUAAAGAAAUUUGCUAUGAAAGGAAAAAGAGGAACAUAGUAACCAUAUAUCAGGGGGGAAAUUCCC